GCGGAGCCGCUAGCAGCACUAUUGCUCGCCAAACGCUCAUCGCGCCUAGCUUUGGCAGCAGCAGCCUCACCCGCCCUAGAGCUCUCUGGACGCGAACCACGACCCAUAGCUACUUCCCAGGGGAUGGUCUGUAGCGGCUCAACUUCUAGCGGUUCUGGCAGUGAGGUUCCUGCAUGGGCAGACGGACGCAACGAAUCAAUAAAAAUCCUAUCCGCCGCGCUGAACGACACGUCAGACCCGGAAUCCUCACUGCUCGAAAUCUCUAUGACGUUAGCCAUCCCAAACCCUAAAACCCACAUCAGUUAGCACAAACACAGAUCUAGCCUA
rnacentral:lncRNA from 1 species